GUGGGGAAUAUUGGACAAUGGGCGCAAGCCUGAUCCAGCCAUACCGCGUGGGUGAAGAAGGCCUUCGGGUUGUAAAGCCCUUUUGUUGGGAAAGAAAUCCUGUCGGUUAAUACCUGGCGGGGAUGACGGUACCCAAAGAAUAAGCACCGGCUAACUUCGUGCCAGCAGCCGCGGUAAUACGAAGGGUGCAAGCGUUACUCGGAAUUACUGGGCGUAAAGCGUGCGUAGGUGGUGGUUUAAGUCCGUUGUGAAAGCCCUGGGCUCAACCGGGGAGUUGCAGUGGAUACUGGAUCACUAGAGUGUGGUAGAGGGAUGAGGAAUUUCUGGUGUAGCAGUGAAAUGCGUAGAGAUCAGAAGGAACAUCCGUGGCGAAGGCGGCAUCCUGGGCCAACACUGACACUGAGGCACGAAAGCGUGGGGAGCAAACAGGAUUAGAAACCCCGGUAGUCC
rnacentral:rRNA from 1 species